CAGGAUGAACGCUGGCGGCGUGCUUAACACAUGCAAGUCGAACGAUGAUGCCAGCUUGCUGGGGGAUUAGUGGCGAACGGGUGAGUAACACGUGAGUAACCUGCCCUUAACUCUGGGAUAAGCCUGGGAAACUGGGUCUAAUACCGGAUAUGACUCCUCAUCGCAUGGUGGGGGGUGGAAAGCUUUUUGUGGUUUUGGAUGGACUCGCGGCCUAUCAGCUUGUUGGUGAGGUAAUGGCUCACCAAGGCGACGACGGGUAGCCCGGCCUGAGAGGGUGACCGGCCACACUGGGACUGAGACACGGCCCAGACUCCUACGGGAGG
rnacentral:rRNA from 1 species